UACAUUGCACAGCAUGAUAUUAUAUAAUAACAAGCCCACUAUCCCUUGUUUUGUGCAUCCCAUGUUUUGUGCAUUUAGUCAUCAUAAUCUGGUGUUGUGCACGUUUUAUUCCAAAAGAAGGAGGAAAAGAGUAGAAGGAAAAAUCUUGUUCUGUGCAAGAUAUAUUACGAAACAAAGAGGAAAAAAAAAAUAUAGAAGGAAAAAUUAUUCACGUAUUUCUAACCUAGAGGGGAGAAAAAGGACGAACAGAAGGGGCUUUGCCAAUUAAUGUUGAAGGAGCAGUGAAGCUUUAUUUUAUUUCCACCAAAUACAAAGGCAAUCAGAUUUUGAUCGUUCAGAGGCUCUACGCAAAGGGAAGACAUUAGUUUGAUUGUUCGUGGCACCCGCUCGGCAUUGAGAUUUUGAUCGUUCAGAGGCUCUACGCAAAGGGAAGACAUUAGUUUGAUUGUUCGUGGCACCCGCUCGGCAUUGAG